GACGAACGCUGGCGGCGUGCCUAAUACAUGCAAGUAGAACGCUGAAGAGAGGAGCUUGCUCUUCUUUGAUGAGUUGCGAACGGGUGAGUAACGCGUAUGUAACCUGCCUGGUAGCGGGGGAUAACUAUUGAAAACGAUAGCUAAUACCGCAUAAAAUGGAUUAUCGCAUGAUAAUCCAUUGAAAUUUGCAAAUGCAUCACUAACAGAUGGCCCUUCGUUUUAUUAGGUAGGUGGUGGGGUAACGGGUCACUAAGGCGUGGAUGCAUAGCCGAAAUGAGAGGGCGAUGGGCCAGACUGGGACGGUGACACGGCCCAGACGCCUACGGGAGGCAGCAGUAGGGAAUCGGCGGGAAGGGACGGAAGAUUGUACAAAAAACGCGGAGGGCGUGAGGAACGUUGUCGGAUCGGAGAGCUCGGUCGUAAGGGAAGAACGAGCGUGAGAGUGGAAAGAUCACUCUGUGACGGUAACUGAUAAGAAAGCGACGGCUAACUACGUG
rnacentral:rRNA from 1 species